rnacentral:rRNA from 1 species
CCUACGUGAGGCAGCAGUGAGGAAUAUUGGGCAAUGGGCGUAAGCCUGAACCAGCCAAGUCGCGUGAGGGAUGAAGGUUCUAUGGAUCUUAAACCUCUUUUAUAAGGGAAUAAAGUGUGGGAUGUGUCCUAUUUUGUAUGUGCCUUAUUAAUAAGCAUCGGCUAACUCCGUGCCAGCAGCCGCGGUAAUACGUAGGAUGCGAGCGUUAUACGGAUUUAUUGGGUUAAAAGGGAGCGUAGGUUGUUUUUUAAGGCAGCGGUGAAAGUUUGGGGCUCAACCAUAAAAUUGCCGUUGAAACUGGAAUACUUGGGUGUGUGUGAGGUAGGCGGAAUGCGUGGUGUAGCGGUGAAUGCAUAGAUAUCACGCAGAACUCCGAUUGCGAAGGCAGCUUACUAAGCCAUAACUGACACUGAAGAACGAAAGCGUGGGGAUCAAACAGGAUUAGAUACCCCAGUAGUC